rnacentral:misc_RNA from 1 species
UCUCCGUAGGUGAACCUGCGGAGGGAUCACUACAGGCUUGCAAAAGCUCUGAAACCACUGUUUAUCUACCUGAAUCUGCUUCGGCGGGCGGCCCCAAGGCGGGGCCGUUGCAGCAAGGCGCCCGCCGAAGACCCCUAAACCCUGUCGCCUUGAGAAUCUCUGAGUAUCAUAUUAACCAAAAAAACAACUUUCAACAACGGAUCUCUUGGCUCUG